rnacentral:pre_miRNA from 1 species
GAUCUCCACAGGCUGACAGCCCCCCAGGCUGGGCUGGGUGAAUACCUCUUCGAAAGGCUCAUCCUUAAGCACAACUAGGAGG